rnacentral:rRNA from 1 species
UACGAAGGGGGCUAGCGUUGCUCGGAAUCACUGGGCGUAAAGCGCACGUAGGCGGAUUGCUAAGUCAGGUGUGAAAUCUCGAGGCUCAACCUCGAAACUGCACUUGAUACUGCCUUGCUCGAGUACUGGAGAGGAGAUUGGAAUUUACGGUGUAGCAGUGAAAUGCGUAGAUAUCGUAAGGAAGACCAGUGGCGAAGGCGAAUCUCUGGACAGUUACUGACACUGAGGCACGAAGGCCAGGGGAGCAAACGGG